rnacentral:rRNA from 1 species
AACGAACGCUGGCGGCAUGCCUAACACAUGCAAGUCGAACGAGACCUUCGGGUCUAGUGGCGCACGGGUGCGUAACGCGUGGGAACCAGCCCUUAGGUUCGGAAUAACUCCCCGAAAGGGGUGCUAAUACCGGAUAAUGUCUUCGGACCAAGAUUUAUCGCCUUUGGAUGGGCCCGCGUUGGAUUAGCUAGUUGGUAGGGUAAAAGCCUACCAAGGCGACGAUCCAUAGCUGGUCUGAGAGGAUGAUCAGCCACACUGGGACUGAGACACGGCCCAGACUCCUACGGGAGGCAGCAGUGGGGAAUAUUGGACAAUGGGCGAAAGCCUGAUCCAGCAAUGCCGCGUGAGUGAUGAAGGCCUUAGGGUUGUAAAGCUCUUUUACCCGGGAUGAUAAUGACAGUACCGGGAGAAUAAGCUCCGGCUAACUCCGUG